AAGACUAUAGACCUGCGGAGUACCUGCGGAGGGAUCAUUACUGAGUUACAAACUCACAACCCUAUGUGAACUUUACCGAGUGUUGCUUCGGCUGAUGGUCUCUGGGUGAGACUAUAGCUUUUCAAGUCAUCAGCCGAAGGUUUUUAAUUCUAUAUUUUUGGCAUUUCUGAAAACCUUUUAAAAGUUAAAACUUUCAACAACGGAUCUCU
rnacentral:misc_RNA from 1 species